ensembl:lncRNA
CCCGAUCUCGUCUGAUCUCGUUCAGGUGUGCAACCAGGAAGCGAAUGAGCAGAGAGAGCAGCAGCUUGCUGUUCGGGGGAACGUCUUUUUUUUUGUUUGUGUGUGUGUUUGAAUGAGUGACGUGAUGGAGAGGAGAGAGCGAGUAGAGAGGAGCAGGACGGAUCUCAUGGCAACUGACAGCGGACCGGCAAGCACAACGACACAGAAUAUGGACAACGGCAUGGAGCAGAUAUCGCCCAAGAACACCGACCAUGGAAAGACCCCGACCACGAGCAGGAUCAUGGACAACGGCAAGACGCAGCAACCGACAAAGAACGCCGACAUUGGAAAGGAAACGACUACGAGAAGGAUCACGGACAACAGUAAAAGUACCUCGGAAUUUCUUCAAAGCACAGAUAAGAAAUUUGAGAAGGAGCUUACCUUGGCGGUAGAGAUUGUUGGAGAUGAGAUGGUGACUAUGAUGGAACUUCUAAGUGAGGUUAAAAAAACGUGCGGGGUGGUGAAUGGAUGCCGUUUUAAAAUGCCCAAAAAAUACGAAAUAACAAUGGACAAUGUUGAAGGGAAGGAUAAACUGUUAGAUGGGAUUAGAAUAAAGAAGAGCACGGUAGUGGCAAAAGAAAUUAGAAAUGACGAACUAGUUGUAUCUUUUUUAAACUUGCCGACGUACAUUGUGGAUGGUGUCAUUCUUGCCAAACUUGCAGAAUGGGGAGUUAAAGGCCCACUAUGCAACUUUGGGCAUUUCUUGGCUGUUUUCUUGGUUUUGGCACGCACAUUUCUCUACACAGCGCCCCCUAAAGCUUCGUAGUAGAUAUUUCACAACACUGUCGUAACAACUCGUUGACGUCCCUUCCCCAUGCUCUUCUACGCGAGCCAUGUGCAUUUGUUUUCAGAGAAGCCGGCGAAUGCGCGGAGCCAUGUCCGAAAUAGAUGUUCAUAAAGUGUAGGCAAGGUUAUACAUUUUUAAAAUGGUGUAUUUGCAUUGCAAUAAACAUAAAUCCAUAAUUUUUUAUAGUUGACGGGGAGAAUUUAUACCCUAGGUUAUAAUUAUUUUAUCUUAGGUUGAACAGAACAAUCAGUGUAAGAGGUUUGGCCAACAUAAUAAUCGAAAUAAACAAGAACCUGGAUUCGGGGAUUCAGUCUGUAUCUGGGGGACGAGACAUACGAACAGCAAAACACCCAUGGAAACAAAGGUGUUUAUAUGGUUGCAACCAAGCAAGCUAGAAACAAACAGGGCUCACAACAAAACGGUCGAGAAAACAAUUUUUACAGGGCUCAAAAAAAUGGUUGAGCAAACACAUGUGUACAGAGACUAUCAGAAUCAAGAAUAUUACGCAGACAAAGUUCACCCAAGGGUACUUUCAAUUUCAAAAGCAACACGGCCGAGUCGGCGUCUG